GGAGGGGGGGGGGGGGGGGGGGUCUUUUUCAUCUGAUCACUCUCUCUCGGUUCGUGAAAAGGAGGGAUUUUUAGUUCCACAGCUGUUUGCUCCACCUUUUCUUUUAAUCUGAUCACGAUUUUCGAACGAAGAGUAUAAUCUUCCCGUCUCGUUGUUUGAUUGACUUCCAGUCUUGCUGUUGCUACUUGUCCGAGUUGAUCUUCGCUUUAGGAGGAGGAGGGAGGGUUUCGUUGCCCUAGAAUACAGAAGAUUCGAUUUUUGAGUUGGAAAUCAUCUGUUCGAUUCCGGUCUCUUGUUUGCUACUUUAUGUUUCUGUUGAUAAUCUCGCAACUCCAUGUCUUCUUCCUUGUUUGCUUCUGAUUAUAAGUGACAGGAUCGCAUAAUGAUCGAACCUAAAAGAGAAGAACGGAGAUGGGGAGUUUACGAUCUAUUCUGGCUUAAAAUCUCAUGAAACCCUCUUCCGGUUGUUGCUACAGUUACCACUUAGCUACAAUUUCCAUACAGUCUGCUACGGUUAGGGUUAGAUGCUGUAUUUGCUUAUGUCCUGUCAGAUUUCUUCUCCCUUUUCAUUUGUUCGUGAGUUCAUAUGAGGUUGAAGAUAUCUAAUCUUAAGUGCAAUCCGAUGAAGGUGUCAGUCAGCUUAACUGGUAAAGAAUCGCAAGGUCCUCUUGCUACAAUCUCAAUAUUUCUCUUGUUAUGCUCUAAUAUGAAUUCUUGAAAAUUUUCUUCAAGGUUCCUUUUUCAUUGUGUCAUUAUUUCUUGUUGAUCUGUGCAAAUAGUGCCUCAAUUUUGCAUCAGUGGUACAAAGGAUAAGACUCAGAAAAAAGUUUAGGAUUUUGAUUAUGACAGCACGUUAAGGUGCUAAAUGACAUAGAAGAAGGAUCUCAGAGGGGUUUUACUUUGCUGUUAUCCUCUUUUCAUGUUACUGUGGUGAAGUAGUGGGAUCAUAGCAACAUCAUUCUAUGGAAGGUCAGGUCUCUGUAGGAACAGCUCAGGUGGAAGGAAGAUGUGUUGUGGCGCAGAAAGAGACUCAAAAUCUUACUGAUGAAAUGGUAGAAAUGAUUGCUGAUAUUGGCAUCCGAUACUCGGACUUGACAAUUGCAGAAGAGGUGGGAACUGGUGACAUUGAAGAGCAGCUGAAGGAACUGGAGAAGAAGAUUCUGUUACGUGAUUCUGAUACGUUACCGAUACAGGAUCAAGUUCUGCCACAAGUAUCCGAGUACUUAAAGGAUGUGAAUGAAGUCUGGGAACUUGGUGGAGUCUUAAGAUUACUAUGUUUGAGCAAUGAAGAUGAGAAACAUAAUGAACUCCUGAAUUUUGCCGAUAUCACUCUUCAGAUGGCCAUGGAAAGACUUGAGGAUGAGUUUGUCCAACUUCUCACUCGAUGCUGCAAACCUUUGGAACCUGACAGCAUGUCUCUUCAUUCUGCAGAAGAAGACAGCAUGGACAACUUCUCAAACAGUUCUUUUGAUGAGGAAUCGGUUGAGGCCAUGUCUCACAGUGAUACCGCCAGAGAGUCAGAGAAUGUUGUCAUUGAUUUGAUCAAUCAUGGUUUAAUUUCUGAUAUCACAGCCAUUGCCAAUUUCAUGUGUCUAUGCAAUUACGAGAAGGAGUGUUGUCAGGCAUAUGUAAUAGUCAGAAAAGAUGCAGUCGAGGAGUGCCUGUCGGUUCUCCAAUUCGAUAGAUUCAAUAUUGAAGAAGUUCUCAAAAUGGGGUGGAAUGUCUUGCAUCGCACGAUAGAGAAGUGGAAGCAAGCAAUGCAGGUGUUUGUUCGGGUCUGUCUUGCUAGGGAAAGACAUCUUUGUGAUCUUGUCUUUGGAGAACUUCCAGGAUCAAUCAGAGAACCUUGUUUCGUCGAUAUCUCAAAUAGUUCAAUUCUUCAACUUCUCAGUAUUGCUAUGGCCAUAGCCCUUGCACCUCGAAAGCCAGAAAGGCUAUUUCAGACACUCAAUACAUACGAGGUUUUAAGUGAUCUUCUUGUGGACAUGGAGCAUUUCCUCCCGGAAGACUAUGGAUCUGGCAUACUAACUGAAUGUCAUGAAGUUUUACUGAGAUUGAAAGAAUCUGUGAGUGGGACUCUAGAGGAGUUCAAAUAUAAUAUUCAGUCAAGCAUAUCAUAUACUGCAUUUCCUGGAGGCGGAGUCCAUCAUCUUACAAAGUAUGUCAUGAAUUAUAUCAAAGCCCUUUCUGCUUAUGGGGAGACACUUGGUUCUGUUCUUGAGGGCCAACAGGGCACAGACCAAUCUUCAGUGAUGGAAGAUGGUGACAGAGAAACUUCUUCGAAUCAAUCCCCACUGGUUUGGCAUCUGAAGUCAGUGACCAAAAUUUUGGAAGCAAACCUUGCUCAUAAGUCCCAGCUAUACAGUGAUGUCUCUCUGCAAAGCAUUUUUAUGAUGAACAAUGUCUGUUACAUGGUUGACAAAGUUAAACAGUCUGACCUUAGAAACUUCUUUGGUGAUGAAUGGAUUCGGGCGCACAUUGUGAUGUUCCAAAAGCAUGCACGGGACUAUGAGAGGGCCUCAUGGACUUCUGUCCUCUCGUUCCUGAAGGAAGAGGGGAUUCGCAGGACAAGUUCUAGAAAUCCUUCCUCGACAGUCCUUAAGGACAGAUUCAGAGGUUUCAACCAUGCAUUCGAAGAGGUUUACAACGCACAGACAGCAUGGUCAGUUCCGAAUGCUGGACUCCGGGAUGAUCUGAGGAUCUCUGUAUCCACCAAGUUGAUACAAGCAUAUCGGAUUUUUGAAAGUAGGCAUGCUGGCUAUCUGGAUGGUGAGAGACAUCGAGAAAAGUACAUCAAGUACUCCCCAGAUGAAUUGGAGGAAUACUUGCUGGAUCUUUUUGCAGGGUCCCCAAGGUCAUUGCAGAGCCAACGAAGGUGAUAUAGGCAUGGACGGACAAUCGGUUCCCAUCCAUCUUUGUGCAUUUUAUCUUGGCUUGUGACACAGCAAGCACCAAGCAAAGAGAACAUGCAUGCAUCACCCACCACACCAAGAACACUCCAGAAGGAAUUUUAUAGGGAUGCAUGACACGAUCGAAAUGAAGAAUAAAACAGGGUUGGUCCAUUUGACAGUAAGAACAGCUCAACAGAGAAGAGAGCCCAUGUGGCCCGGAAUAGAAGAAGAAGAAGAAGAAGAAGAAGAAGAAGAGAGACAACCAUUCCGGGGUUCCCCCAAGCACACUAAACUCUUACGAGGAGAUAUGCCUCUGCAUCAACAUCAGCAGAAUCACAUAUCCAUUUUUGCACAAGCAUCGCCACCACUGUAGCGUCGAAGCCAAUUCCCGAGCAAAUGAGAGUGAGGAGGAGCCAACCUAUCCCCGGCCUGAGGAGGAAACCACCGUGGUUAACGUCACUGGUCAAGCUACCGGACGGCCCCAAUCCUCCCAGUAACCCAUUGGUCGGAGUGAAGGUGGUGGGUGGGGUGCUUGUUGCCGGUGUCGAACUUGUGCCAGAAGCACUGGAGGAAGAACAGCGAGCAGAGAGAAGAAGACAUCGUAAAAGAGAUGCUGGAUUACGUUCCACAGAAAAGAAAAUGGUGAGAGAUGAACCUGGAAGAUGCAGGGUAAGCGCAGCCACUGCUACCUGCGGUCAAACAGAUGAAGAUUAUUGCUGCACUCGUUAGGGAAUCAAGAAGAUUGCUGGUGACUUACUUGGAUCCGUAGUGGUAAGGGUGGCGGUGCCUGAGAAAUCACAAGCCCCCUGUGCCUGCCCCUUCCUCUGGUAGUAGCUGUUAGCAGCAUAAGAGCAGUGGGCUCUCACGGUGUUGGGAUUGUAACAAGCUCCUCCGUUCUGGAGAAUGGGGGUGCAAUCAGCCCCAGCUCCACAUGCAUAGUCCAGUGUUCUGCUGACCCAAUAACUCGAGAAAUUUCCUGCCCAUAAAAAAACCUGAUGCAGUAUAUAAUGAUGUUCCAUAUGAA